UGGGGAAUUUUGGACAAUGGGGGAAACCCUGAUCCAGCCAUCCCGCGUGUGCGAUGAGGGCCUUCGGGUUGUAAAGCACUUUUGGCAGGAAAGAAACGUCGCGGGUUAAUACCCCGCGAAACUGACGGUACCUGCAGAAUAAGCACCGGCUAACUACGUGCCAGCAGCCGCGGUAAUACGUAGGGUGCAAGCGUUAAUCGGAAUUACUGGGCGUAAAGCGUGCGCAGGCGGUUCGGAAAGAAAGAUGUGAAAUCCCAGAGCUUAACUUUGGAACUGCAUUUUUAACUACCGGGCUAGAGUGUGUCAGAGGGAGGUGGAAUUCCGCGUGUAGCAGUGAAAUGCGUAGAUAUGCGGAGGAACACCGAUGGCGAAGGCAGCCUCCUGGGAUAACACUGACGCUCAUGCACGAAAGCGUGGGGAGCAAACAGGAUUAGAUACCCUGGUAGUCCACGCCCCUAAACGAUGUCAACUAGUUGUUGGGGAUUCAUUUCCUUAGUAACGUAGCUAACGCGUGAAGUUGACCGCCUGGGGGAGUACGGUCGCAAGAUUAAAACUC
rnacentral:rRNA from 1 species